UUGAUUGGAGACGAGACUGACCCAAAUAGAAGUAAUCCGCAGGUUCCUUGACGAGAGGGGCUGUUUAAUAAGGGAGGGCCCCUCCGUUGUGUAUAUGGAGUCAGACGCCUGGACCAGAGCUGAAAUUCGCAUCAGGAAUCGGUAAAAUGCCAGCUUGAUGUGUCACACAUGCAGAAGGAACCAAUGGCGGGAAGCAGGAGUCCAAAUGGGAGUAACCAACACUGCGGAGUUUGCAAUAUUGCAGGUCGGACGAUUGGAGAUUGCUAUGAGUUUUUGAGAAAAGCUGUGACAUUGAUUGAUCCCUUGAAAUAGCUAGAGCUGAAGCUAGUUACCGUGAGAUGCACACAUUUCCUUUUAAAAUACAAAAGCAGGGGGUUGUUGCCUGGAAUAGCAAUGCAAUUCGAGUGCCACAUACCAAAACUGGUAAGAUAAAAUGUGCCUUAUCAAGGUAAAAUCAAAGGCUAGUGAGCUUCCUUUAGUAGUUUGUUGGCAAGGUACUUCGUCUCACACAAACAAAAGGUGUGAAGCAAUUUCAAGUUAAAUAAGCAGUGUCCAACAGUCAAACAGGAAUGUAAAACUUUGAGAAAUCUGUCAGAAAAUACAGUAUAGAGAGUAGCAGUCAGUCUCUCAGCCUUUGGCAAGACAUUGCCUUGUGCGCUCAUAUGUUUUCUGUAUCAUACCAUUAAAUGUUAGACUUCAAUCAA